AGCUGGUCCGAUGGUAGUGGGUUAUUAAUUUAUAAUAAGUUAGAACUUAUUAACGUUAGUGUCACUAAAGUUGGUAUACAAACCCCCCACUGCUGAAUUUGACUGGCUUAAA
rnacentral:Y_RNA from 1 species